AUGGGAGGGUGCCUGAGAACUGCCUGGUCCUUUGGUGCAGCCUUUCUGCCCUGUCUUGCCCUACCCAGCAUUUGCUCUCAAGCACCCUGUCCCUCUUGGCCUUACAGAGACCCUUGGAGGCCCCAGGAUGGGCUGCACACAGCCUCAUAUCCCAUGAGCCAAAGGGGAGGGCGAAGGGAGGGUCACUCAACCCUUCCCGAGUUCCCACAACCUCUGCACCCCUUGCCAGAAGAUUCCCCUCUUCUGGCCAAGGGGGCGCUGGAGGGCAAAGAGGUGGCCGCCUUAGACUGUGAAUGCACAGCAUUCAGUGCCCCCAUCUGUGUCCUCGGUGACCUUGGUCCUUGAAUUUGGAGAAAAUGUGCACCAAAAAGACCCCAGGAGAUUACUCAUGUUCAGCACAGACCCACGUGGCUGAGGAACAUGCCUCUGCCUCAGCUACUGUGAGAUACUUUGGCUUCCUGUGCUCAUGAAACCUGAAUGGCUACAACUCCGUGAUCCAGCACCUAACAAAAGAGGAAGCCAUUCCACAGCCUUCGUUACCCCGAGGUCCCAUUCAUCUGUAUGUUUCACAGCACGUGACACGUCUCUGACACUCACUGUGUCCCGGGUUGGGCACUGAGACUGAUCUGCAAGCAGCUCUGGCAAAGAGGCGCAGAGGAAGAGGAUCCUUCACAAGUGCCAGGAGAGACGCAACUACGUGCUUCUGUGAUCACAGCCAACUCAGCGGCACUCAGUCCCUCUCAGUGGCCUCCCUGAGGUUCUCCAGGGUCAGCCCAGCAGCCAAGGGGAAGUGAUGGCUUCCAUUGGCCCAGGCUGAGUGAGCUGGAUGAGUAGACAUGCUCAACUCCCCGGUACUAGAGUGACACCUACCAUUCCAGCUUUCCCGAAAAGUGACUCAAUAUGAAUGCCAGACAGCCCUUAGGGCCUAGGGCCAGGGCCAGAGGACCAGACACCAGAAGCACCUCUGACCUCAGUAUGGGGAGAGGACUCUACUCCUCCAUACACCACCUGAGGCCGUGAAAACACCAGUCAAGCCGCUCUAUCUCUAACGGCGCAGAUCUGAGGCAGCACCUGGAAUGGCUGUGGAAGGGGCAGCUGGUGCGGUUGGUAGGGCUCUGUGCUAAGUUGUCAGGGUGAGUGGAGUCUGGUCAAGGUAGAAGGAGCACAGAGUUGGGGUGAAGUUGCCAUGGGGCCAGCUGAAGAGAAAGGACAUGGAGAGCUCACUGUUACUGAGACUGAAGAGGUUGUAAGCACUGCAGCAACAAACCUCGGGGUUAGUUUAGCAAAGACUUAGGAAUCAGAGUCCUGAGAAUGGUAAGAGAGGAAAAGAAAUCUACAUGAUGAGCUAGGAAUUUGGGGAUCAGGUCUGAGAGGGCAAGAAGAUUCCCAUAAAAGCCAUACUCUGUCUCCCCACUCUGCUGCUGAGUGAGGAACCAAGUGACUGACUCUACCUUAGUGGCACUGUGACUUCCUUUGGCUGCUAGAGUUGUAGGGAGAUGUGAGGAGAACCACAGGAGCUGAAAAUGGACUGUUUCAGGAAUCGGUGGUUUUGAGGAUUUGGGUUUGAACUUCACUCAGGA
ensembl:lincRNA